CGCGUAGGUGGUUUUGUAAGCGAGAGAUGAAAUCCCAUGGCUCACCCAUGGAACUGUCUCUCGGACUGCGAAGCUUGAGGGCGGGAGAGGAGAGUGGAAUUCCCGGUGUAGCGGUGAAAUGCGUAGAUAUCGGGAGGAACGCCGGUGGCGAAAGCGACUCUCUGCCCGUUCCUGACACUGAGGCGCGAAAGCUAGGGGAGCAAACA
rnacentral:rRNA from 1 species